rnacentral:pre_miRNA from 2 species
AGUGAAAUUGCUGGGUCAUACAGUAAUUCUACAUUUAACUUUCUGAGGAACUGUCAAACUGUUUUCCACAGUGGCUGUACCGUUUUACAUUCCUACUGGCAAU